rnacentral:rRNA from 1 species
UACGUAGGUGGCAAGCGUUACUCGGAAUUACUAGGCGUAAAGCGCGUGUAGGUGGUCUUGCAAGUCGGACGUGAAAGCUCCUGGCUUAACUGGGAGAGGUCGUUCGAAACUGCUUGGCUUGAGUGUAUGAGAGGAAUCUGGAAUUCCCGGUGUAGCGGUGAAAUGCGUAGAUAUCGGGAGGAAUACCUAUGGCGAAGGCAGGAUUCUGGCAUAUUACUGACGCUGAGACGCGAAAGCUAGGGGAG